GUGACUAAGACUAUUUAAUUAUAUGAUUAAUAAUCUUGAGAUUAUAAUCUCAUAAAUUAUAAUUCUUGCAAACAAACAAGACCUAAGAAUCCCAUAAUAUGCCUAUUUCACUUUAUUAUUUUAAGCCAUAAGUCUCUUAGCUUCAGUCUACUCAACAAAACCCUAGCUCUCAUUCUAUAUCUCAACCGCUGAGAGAAACACAUAGUAAUUGUGUUUGAGAGAGAGUCACUCAAUCCGCCAUGAUGACAAGGUUCAAAAAAAAUAUGAAGAAAAAAAAUAUAAAGAAGACAGACCACGUGAGCGCCAAUCACGAUUGUAUCAGCAAGCACCGGAAACAUUCGAAGGUCACGGGAAGGAAUGCACCACCAUCGGAUCUUGUUCAACAAGUACCAUCCGGGUUAAUAAUGGAUGGUGAACGUCUGAGCGAGACUGUGAGAGAUGAAGGGAGAUGAAGAUUAAAGGGACUAAGGAGCGUCUGCGUAUGAGGGUUUGUAAUUUGGGAGAUUUGAGAAAUGAAGAUUGAAGAGAGCGUAUGAGUAUAAGAUGAAGAUUUGGUCUAUUAUUAGUUUAUUACAAUUAGAAUUAGGAUCUAUUAUUACGGUUAUAAAAAUGAACCGGUAUAACCGGACCAGAACAGUUUAUAUAUAACGAAUAAGUCAAACCAAUAUUUCGGUAUAGGUCCCGAAUAACAAGUAUAUACAAGUUAAAAAUAUCGAAUCCGAAUCGGUUUCACUUCGUACCGAA
rnacentral:lncRNA from 1 species